CCUACGGGGGGCAGCAGUGGGGAAUAUUGGACAAUGGGCGAAAGCCUGAUCCAGCCAUGCCGCGUGUGUGAAGAAGGCCUUCGGGUUGUAAAGCACUUUCAGUGGGGAAGAAAGCCUUGGGGCUAAUACCCUCGAGGAAGGACAUCACCCACAGAAGAAGCACCGGCUAACACCGUGCACAGCAGCCGCGGUAAUACGGAGGGUGCGAGCGUUAAUCGGAAUUACUGGGCGUAAAGCGCGCGUAGGCGGUCUGAUAAGCCGGUUGUGAAAGCCCCGGGCUCAACCUGGGAACGGCAUCCGGAACUGUCAGGCUAGAGUGCAGGAGAGGAAGGUAGAAUUCCCGGUGUAGCGGUGAAAUGCGUAGAGAUCGGGAGGAAUACCAGUGGCGAAGGCGGCCUUCUGGACUGACACUGACGCUGAGGUGCGAAAGCGUGGGUAGCAAACAGGAUUAGAUACCCGGGUAGUC
rnacentral:rRNA from 1 species